ensembl:lncRNA
AACGGGCUGCACAAAUUUUCAUUAUAACAUUUUGCACGUGUCUCUUUACUUACCUUAAAAACUGUCUCUUUUGACUUGUUGAAAUUAAUUUCCAGAAAUCAUUCACUGAUUUCUGGAACAAAAACCUCUUGAUCUUUCUUGUCUUGUAGGUUCAGUCCAGGAUCAAAUGUUUGGAUACCAGUAGGUGCUCCAUGUGAAAGUAAUCUUGAAUGAUGAAUGAAGGUGCUGGCAGGCUCAGUCUUUCAGAGAGUAAAAUGAGGCAUCAACAUUUAAAGGCCUUAAAAUUGGUGGUCCAGCUGCACAGGAAGUUCCCUGAAGGGCCAAGUCUGGAUCUCACCGUUAAGUCUUUGUGCCAUGAUGAUGGUCACAGCCCAACCAAACUGACCUAAAGCAACUAGAGAGGCGCUUCCAAGCCAGGAAGUUUAAUGUCACAGAAGAUCAGGUUAGAGAAGUGAAUUUGUGGUAGUACAAAUAAUUACUGGGGAAGUACUAUUGUAUAAUGAUGGCAUUAGGUGGUGCUAUUGCAGGUGAUUGCAAAUGUUUUAUAAUAUAUAUUUUUUUUAAUUAUAAUUUAUUAUUAAUAUUAUUUAGAUUUAGCAUUAGUUUUGAUGAUUAGAGUUUUUAAAAUUCAUUUUCUUUUCUUUUUUUCUUUUACAUUGAUAUUUCUACUCCAAUUCCUACCAUAAACAUAGUAGAUUUAUGUACCAUGGUGUUUACUCUGUGUGGUACUCCAAGGCAUUUUAAAGAAUACUGUGGUGUUGCCACACUCUUAAAAAUAAAGGUUCCAAAUAGGGGGUUUCACAGCAGGACCUUAGUAGAACCAUUUUUGGUUCCCUAAAGAAGCUUUCAGUGAACAGUUUCAGUUUUUAAAAUAACCAAAAACAUUAAAAUAACCUCUUUUUUUCACUAUAAAAAACCUUUAUGUAAAGGAAAGGUUCUUUAUGGAACUAAAAUAUGCUUAUUUUCAAGAGUGAUGGUGUAUGUCCAAAGCAUCUUAUUACAAUGAUACAUUUUGGUACUUUUUGCUAGUGCUUUACUGUUCAUAUUAAAUACAUUAUUUGUUUGUUUUUUUUAUUGGCAACUCCUGUUGCUUAUUUAUAAUUAACAGCUUUAUACACUUAUGGGGAGGCAUUUAGGAAUUAUUUAGAUAAUUUUUGUUUCUCUUAUUGCACAAAUAUUGGUUUCCUCUCAACAUUUUAGAGAGCUCAGAGUAUACAAGUUUAGUUCAGAUAGAAACUUUAGUAUCACAGAGAAAGGCUGGAUCAUGUCAGGUAACCAAUAAUAUACUUACCGUCUCUUUUUGCUACUGCAAAUUGCCUUGCGGUGUGUUUUAUCCUUUAGCAAGUUGGUCUCCUCAUCGGCUGAGAAUUCCCGGUAUCUGUCAAUUAUCCUCUCUCUCCGGCAUCCGCAUAGCCUCUCUGUCUCCAAUCACAGCUCAUCAACGGUGUUCUCAGUGAGCGCUCCAGUCAAAUGUUUGUUAUGUUAGCGGCGCUCGCCAACACUCCCAGUCGCCCCCUUAAAACCUCAUUCAUUUGGCCUGUCUGACUCUGAGCUCUACUACAACUAUGCUGCGCAAAUAAUUAAAGGCUUUAGUUAAAUACAUAGUUGGGGUAUUUGGAGACUAGGGGAUCUGUAAUAGCAUUUGCUAUUAUUCACUCAGGCUUUGAUUGCCUGACAGAAACAAAUUAGGCCCCAGGAUUAAUUUCCAGUAAAAUGUGCCAAGUGAAUGCAAUUGACUCCAAUUAAAGCAUGAAAGGACACUAAAUAUUCAAAUCAGCAGAGCCGUUGAUGGCGGGCCGAUAAAGAAUGGCGUGGAAGUGUGCCAAGGGAGAAAACCAGCCAUUCACGGGCACCUGAGGGAAAAUAACAGGCUCUCAUUCAAUAAAGAGUAGCUGGGGCAACAGACGUGUGUUUUUGCUGCAGAACAUGCCCCCGCUGGCAUGUUGUUGUUGUCGGGUCACAUCAGCGGCUAUUCACAAGCGUUCACUGUUUUGAGCUGAUUUGAAUAUCAAGGCCAUAUUAAGACACCUAAGUGCUUAUGUAUUAUACAUGCUAAGUGCUUGUUCAAGUUUAUGCUGGGACACGUUUUGUAAUAGGCAGCAUUGUCACAUACAUGAGCAUAAUUAGAGUGAUUAAAUAAUAAUGUCCCAGAAUGCAAAUUUCAAACUGGUGGUGGCAUCUGCAAACAUAGCAUGUGCACUGUGUAGUUAUGUGAGAUUAGUAAUGGAUUAAUUAAGUAAUUUCAGAAAUUGAGUAUACAUUUAAAGGGGAUUCUUGUGGGAUAAAAGAGCUUGAUGUGCUAUGAAAACAAACUGUAGCUUUCACAACCUCUUUCUUUCUAGUCCAAAGAGAGCAUUUACUAAAAUGUCUUGUUUUGACACCAAAAUACAUCAACAUGUGUCUGUCCAAUGAUGGGUAAUGGAUGAUGAGAAUAUUGGUGGAGAAACUCGAAUGAAUGCUAUUAUUUUUGAACAUCAGAAGAACUAUUAUUAAUAUGUGGGAAUGUUGUUCCUGGUUGUGUGUAACACAUAAUGCUCAGAAAAUCCUUCUGAAGAACAACAUUUGAAACUAGCAGGUGGAAUUUAUUUUUCAGAAAAUCUCUGAUCAUUUUAGUUUGAGUUUUUGGAAGCUUUGGGUGUUAAGGAUGAGAGAGUUUAAACAUUAUUGGACACAACAAACCCGCAUGAAAAGGAGGCAUUUGUUUGGUACAGCAGAAAAAAAUAAAAAAAAUUAAAAAUAGAAAUCUUACAUUAAAAGUAGACAUUCUCAGGGGAAAAUCAGUCCAGUUUUGUCUUAGACCUAAAUUAGCAUUAGUUUUGACUUAAGCCUAGUUUAUCUCAGUCGGUUCCUCUAUGUUCCAAUGUCUUGUAUCUGCAGAGUACUGAAGGGUCCAUGUUGAAGUUGAGCAGGUGUACAUGAGGGUAACAUGUGUCUGUGAAUGUGAGAAUUAUCAAAAGGCAGAAAGAGUCUUCAAACAUGUGGUUUAAAAUAAAAAUUAGGCUUUGAGGAGCCCACCUAAGCCCAAAUAUACACAAACACACACAAGAAGGAAGUACAACUCACCUUAAUGAUGGGCUAUGUGAUGGUGGCA